rnacentral:rRNA from 1 species
CAGCGUAACUCCGGAGACCUUGCACCCCUUAUGGGAGGUAGCACGACGAUAAACAAAGCUCGCCGCGUGCAAGUUGGCCGCACGGUCAGCAACACAAUCGAAUUGACGGGGACCUCCUAAAGCCUGCAACACCAACCGUCCGGGGAAACUCGGGCGGGGCCCUCACGGGGUGGUAAGAGAGUGCAGGAUGAACAAUGGACGAUCCGCAGCGAAGACCCUACCGGCGAGAGCCCACGGGUACCGUUCACAGACUAAGUGAUUGUGGGCGGGGCAUUAUGCCCUGUCUAAGAUAUAGUCGGUCUCUGCUCGAAAGGGCAGAGCCUAGCGCGUCCGUAGGUGAACCUGCGGAAGGAUCAUUAAAGAAUCGCCCCGUUUUUUGAAAUGGGUUCUAUUCCCAAACCGUGUAUACAUACCUUUGUUGCUUUGGCAGGCCGCCUUCUAGGCGUCGGCUCCGGCUGACUGCGCCUGCCAGAGGACCCAAACUCUUUUGUUUAGUGAUGUCUGAGUACUAUAUAAUAGUUAAAACUUUCAACAACGGAUCUCUUGGUUCUGGCAUCGAUGAAGAACGCAGCGAAAUGCGAUAAGUAAUGUGAAUUGCAGAAUUCAGUGAAUCAUCGAAUCUUUGAACGCACAUUGCGCCCCUUGGUAUUCCGAGGGGCAUGCCUGUUCGAGCGUCAUUAUAACCACUCAAGCCUCGGCUUGGUCUUGGGGUUCGCGGUCUCGCGGCCCUUAAAAUCAGUGGCGGUGCCGUCUGGCUCUAGCGUAGUAAUUCUCUCGCUAUAGGGUCUAGGCGACCACCUGCCAGAACCCCCCAUUCUUUACGUUGACCUCGGAUCAGUAGGGAUACCCGCUGAACUUAA